UAAACGACUCUCGGCAACGGAUAUCUCGGCUCUCGCAUCGAUGAAGAACGUAGCGAAAUGCGAUACUUGGUGUGAAUUGCAGAAUCCCGUGAACCAUCGAGUUUUUGAACGCAAGUUGCGCCCGAAGCUUUUAGCUGAGGGCACGUCUGCCUGGGCGUCACGC
rnacentral:rRNA from 1 species